rnacentral:rRNA from 1 species
UACGGGAGGCAGCAGUGGGGAAUAUUGCACAAUGGGCGCAAGCCUGAUGCAGCCAUGCCGCGUGUAUGAAGAAGGCCUUCGGGUUGUAAAGUACUUUCAGUCGUGAGGAAGGUGUUAAGGUUAAUAACCUUAGCAAUUGACGUUAGCGACAGAAGAAGCACCGGCUAACUCCGUGCCAGCAGCCGCGGUAAUACGGAGGGUGCGAGCGUUAAUCGGAAUUACUGGGCGUAAAGGGCACGCAGGCGGUUAAUUAAGUUGGAUGUGAAAUCCCCGGGCUUAACCUGGGAAUGGCAUUCAAGACUGGUUAGCUAGAGUCUUGUAGAGGGGGUAGAAUUCCAUGUGUAGCGGUGAAAUGCGUAGAGAUGUGGAGGAAUACCGGUGGUGAAGGCGGCCCCUGGACAAAGACUGACGCUCAUGUGCGAAAGCGUGGGGAGCAAACAGGGAUUAGAUACC